rnacentral:lncRNA from 1 species
UAUGAGUCCGGUAUUUAGUGUUUAUAAAUUUUUUAUCGUUAAAUCUACGUCUUUGAUUAUUUAAUCAUUCGUUAGAUUGUACUAUUAAACCGACGACUCACUCAAUCCUAGAGGCCCCACAUCCUCCUAACCGCAUAUCUCUUAAUCCAAUGAUCAAAAAUCUAUAAACACCAAUAACUUGGUGCUUUUAAAAGCAUAUGAGCUGAAUUCUUUACUUAUAUACCUCUAACUUCUAUUAAAAUUUUUAAAAGAGAAAACUUUAAAUACCAUCCCUAUAAUUUCCUUUUUUUUUAUUAUAGUACCUUAUGGUUUAAAAUGUAUCAAUUUAGUAUCCCGUAGUUUCUUUUUCUCUUUUUAUUAUUCUUUUCACUAUGUUUUUUGUUAAAUCAAUAACAAAGUUAAAACUAAAAGGUGUUAAAGUAAAUAUUCGAUAAAUUUCGGUGGGGUAUCUAAAGUUUUUUGUAUAUAGUUUAACGAAAUGUUAACGGAGGAGCUGAUGAUAAGAAAAAAAAUGAAACUAUAUAUAUGAUACUAAAUUGAUACACUUUAAAUCAUAGGGUACUAAAGCGAGAAAGUGCGAAAUCACUAGGGUGGUAUUUGAAGUUUAUCCUUUUAAAAUUUAUCGCGCAAUACUCAAAAU